AGCAGUAGGCUACUAAAGCAUCCACUUCCUCUCACAUAUCACGGCAAUAAGGCUGCACAAAUUAAACCAGGUGACAUCCUUUACUGUCAAACUGGGAAAACAACAAAUACAGUGGGAUUAAGAAGGCUAGUCUAAACAUAACUGUUGUGUGCAUGUAAUAAAUCUCUUCUGGUUUUAUGUGUGUUAGGCUACUUAUUAGGUACAGGGCCCUACAGUGUAAUGUAAUACAAGGAUAAGCAGAGCUUUUCACAUCUUGACUUGCAGGCCAGAGUAGCUGGAGAUAUUAGCCUAAAAGUGGGGAUAUUGCCAGCCAAGAAAAUUCUGAGUAGUGCACAGGAGGAAGAGAAGGAGGGAAAUGAAGAAGGAGAAGGCAG